rnacentral:misc_RNA from 1 species
CAACCCUCAAGCAUAGCUUGGUAUUGGGCUCCGCUACUCACCUAGCGGGCCUUAAAAUCAGUGGCGGUGCCGUCGAGGCCCUGAGCGUAGUAAAUAUCCUCGCUAUAGGGACCCGGCGGACGCUGGCCAUCAACCCCCAACUUUCUAAGU